AACGAACGCUGGCGGCAUGCCUAACACAUGCAAGUCGAACGAGACCUUCGGGUCUUUUGGCGCACGGGUUCGUAACGCGUGGGAACCUGCCCUUAGGUUCGGCAUAACUCCCCGAAAGGGGUGCUAAUACCGGAUAAUGUCUUCGGCCCAAAGAUUUAUCGCCUUUGGUUGGUCCACCUUGGAAUACGUUGUUGGUAGGGUAAAAGGCUACCAAGGCGACGAUUCAUAGCUGGUCUGAGAGGAUGAGCAGCCACACCGGGAGUGAGAAACCGCCCGGACUCCUACGGGAGGCAGCAGUGGGGAAUAUUGGAAAAUGGGGGAAGGGAUGAACGAGCAAGGACGGGUGAGUGAUGAAAGCAGGAGGGUAGUAAAGUGCAAGUAACCGGGAUGAUAAUGACAGUACCGGGAGAAUAAGCCACGGCUAACUACGUG
rnacentral:rRNA from 1 species